rnacentral:rRNA from 1 species
GAUGAACGCUGGCGGCGUGCUUAACACAUGCAAGUCGAACGAAGCACUGUAUUUGAUUUCCUUCUGGACUUAUUAUUUUGUGACUGAGUGGCGGACGGGUGAGUAACGCGUGGGUAACCUGCCUUGUACAGGGGGAGGACAGUUGGAAACGGCUGCUAAUACCGCAUAAGCUCACGUCAUCGCAUGAUGCAGUGUGAAAAACUCCGGUGGUAUAAGAUGGACCCGCGUUGGUUUAGCUAGUUGGGGAGGUAACGGCCCACCAAGGCGACGAUCCAUAGCCGAACUGAGAGGGUGACCGGACACAUUGGGACUGAGACACGGCCCAAACUCCUACGGGAGGCAGCAGUGGGGAAUAUUGCACAAUGGGCGAAAGCCUGAUGCAGCGACGCCGCGUGAGCGAAGAAGUAUUUCGGUAUGUAAAGCUCUAUCAGCAGGGAAGAUAAUGACGGUACCUGACUAAGAAGCACCGGCUAAAUACGUG